ACUAAUAGUGCUAUUAAAUUUUUUUGGUUAUGAUUAAAAUUUUAAUAUAAAAAAUAAGAAUUUUUAGGUGAAAUUAAAAUUUUUAAAUAUUAUAAUUUAUUGAAGUCUGUAAGUUAAAUUUUAAAACUAGGAUUAGAUACCCUAUUAUUUUUAAUGUAAAAAUUAAUUCUUUAUUAUUAUUAGUUAUGUUCUAAAAAGUAAAAUAAUUUGGCGGUAUUUUUUACUUUUCAGAGGAAUCUGUUCUAUGAUUGAUAGUCCACGAUUUUAUUUACUUAUUUUUAGGUUUACAUAUCGUUGUUAAAAAUAUAUUUUUAGAUUAUGUUUAAGAUUUUAAUUAGGAAUUAAUUCAGAUCAAGGUGUAGCUAUAUUUAAGAAGAAAUGGAUUACUAUAAUAUUAAUUAAGGAUUUGAUUUUUUAAAAGUUGAUGAAUUUGGAUUUGAAAGUAAAUUUAUAUAUAUUUAUAAGUUGAUUAUAGUUCUAAAAU
rnacentral:rRNA from 1 species